rnacentral:rRNA from 1 species
GAGUUUGAUCCUGGCUCAGGACGAACGCUGGCGGCGUGCUUAACACAUGCAAGUCGAGCGGUAAGGCCCUUCGGGGUACACGAGCGGCGAACGGGUGAGUAACACGUGAGCAACCUGCCCCUGACUCCGGGAUAAGCGGUGGAAACGCCGUCUAAUACCGGAUACGACCCGCCACCUCAUGGUGGAGGGUGGAAAGUUUUAUCGGUCAGGGAUGGGCUCGCGGCCUAUCAGCUUGUUGGUGGGGUAAAGGCCUACCAAGGCGAUUACGGGUAGCCGGCCUGAGAGGGCGACCGGCCACACUGGGACUGAGACACGGCCCAGACUCCUGCGGGAGGCAGCAGUGGGGAAUAUUGCACAAUGGGCGAAAGCCUGAUGCAGCGACGCCGCGUGGGGGAUGAAGGCCUUCGGGUUGUAAACCUCUUUUACCACCAACGCAGGCUCCACGUUCUCGUGGGGU